GGUGGGAUGGCAGAGUGGUUUAUUGCGGCGGUCUUGAAAACCGUUGUCGGUGAGAGCCGACCGUAGGUUCGAAUCCUACUCCCACCGCCA
rnacentral:tRNA from 1 species